rnacentral:tRNA from 1 species
GCCCGUUUGGCUCAAUGGAUAGAGCAUCGGCCUGUGGACUGAAGGGUCCUGGGUUCGAUUCCCGGUCAGGGCA